AGAGUUUGAUCCUGGCUCAGAUUGAACGCUGGCGGCAGGCCUAACACAUGCAAGUCGAGCGGAUGAAGAGAGCUUGCUCUCUGAUUCAGCGGCGGACGGGUGAGUAAUGCCUAGGAAUCUGCCUGGUAGUGGGGGACAACGUUUCGAAAGGAACGCUAAUACCGCAUACGUCCUACGGGAGAAAGCAGGGGACCUUCGGGCCUUGCGCUAUCAGAUGAGCCUAGGUCGGAUUAGCUAGUUGGUGAGGUAAUGGCUCACCAAGGCGACGAUCCGUAACUGGUCUGAGAGGAUGAUCAGUCACACUGGAACUGAGACACGGUCCAGACUCCUACGGGAGGCAGCAGUGGGGAAUAUUGGACAAUGGGCGAAAGCCUGAUCCAGCCAUGCCGCGUGUGUGAAGAAGGUCUUCGGAUUGUAAAGCACUUUAAGUUGGGAGGAAGGGCAUUAACCUAAUACGUUAGUGUUUUGACGUUACCGACAGAAUAAGCACCGGCUAACUUCGUGCCAGCAGCCGCGGUAAUACGAAGGGUGCAAGCGUUAAUCGGAAUUACUGGGCGUAAAGCGCGCGUAGGUGGUUUGUUAAGUUGAAUGUGAAAGCCCCGGGCUCAACCUGGGAACUGCAUCCAAAACUGGCAAGCUAGAGUAUGGCAGAGGGUGGUGGAAUUUCCUGUGUAGCGGUGAAAUGCGUAGAUAUAGGAAGGAACACCAGUGGCGAAGGCGACCACCUGGGGCUAUACUGACACUGAGGUGCGAAAGCGUGGGGAGCAAACAGGAUAAGAACCCUGGAGGUCCCCACCGUAAAAAAUUUAGGAUUACCGUUGGGAUCCUUUAAAUCUUAGGGGCGCAGCUAACGCAUUAAGUCGACCGCCUGGGGAGUACGACCGCAAGGUUUAAAACUCAAAUGAAUUGACGGGGGCCCGCACAAGCGGUGAAGCAUGUGGUUUAAUUCGAAGCAACGCGAAGAACCUUACCAGGCCUUGACAUGCAGAGAACUUUCCAGAGAUGGAUUGGUGCCUUCGGGAGCUCUGACACAGGUGCUGCAUGGCUGUCGUCAGCUCGUGUCGUGAGAUGUUGGGUUAAGUCCCGUAACGAGCGCAACCCUUGUCCUUAGUUACCAGCACGUUAAGGUGGGCACUCUAAGGAGACUGCCGGUGACAAACCGGAGGAAGGUGGGGAUGACGUCAAGUCAUCAUGGCCCUUACGGCCUGGGCUACACACGUGCUACAAUGGUCGGUACAAAGGGUUGCCAAGCCGCGAGGUGGAGCUAAUCCCAUAAAACCGAUCGUAGUCCGGAUCGCAGUCUGCAACUCGACUGCGUGAAGUCGGAAUCGCUAGUAAUCGUGAAUCAGAAUGUCACGGUGAAUACGUUCCCGGGCCUUGUACACACCGCCCGUCACACCAUGGGAGUGGGUUGCUCCAGAAGUAGCUAGUCUAACCUUCGGGGGGACGGUUACCACGGAGUGAUUCAUGACUGGGGUGAAGUCGUAACAA
rnacentral:rRNA from 1 species